rnacentral:lncRNA from 1 species
UCAUGUAAAGGAUGUUCCUCGUCCUAGGAUGUGGCUGACCAUGGAUGGAUGGAGCAGCUUGACAGAGAGACCCUGUGAUGUGGUCGGUCCUCAGGCUUUGUAAAUACAUGUACAGAUUUACAAGGAAAUGUUCAGGGAAAGUGAGAAUAACAAUAUGUUAUGAAGUGGAAUAAUGCUUUUGUACAGAUUUGUAAUCUGGAUGGGAACAUGUAGU